UACAGAGGGUGCGAGCGUUUGUUCGGAAUUAUUGGGCGUAAAGGGCGCGUAGGCGGCGCCACAAGUCACUUGUGAAAACUCUGGGCUCAACUCAGAGCCUGCAAGCGAAACUGGGGGUGCUGGAGUAUGGAGAGGUGCGUGGAAUUCCCGGUGUAGCGGUGGAAUGCGCAGAUAUCAGGAAGAACACCCGUGGCGAAGGCGCUCUCUGGAACGCAAACUGACGCUGAGACGCGAAAAGCGUGGGGGAGCAAACAGG
rnacentral:rRNA from 1 species